CGAACGGGUGAGUAACACGUGGGCAACCUUUCCUAUCGCGGGGGAUAACAGCGGGAAACCGCUGCUAAUACCGCAUGUCGUCACUGGUCGCAUGGCUGGUGAAGAAAGCAGUAAUGCACGAUGGGGUGGGCCCGCGGCCUAUCAGCUAGUCGGUGGGGUAACGGCCUACCGAGGCGAUGACGGGUAGCUGGUCUGAGAGGACGGCCAGCCACACGGGGACUGAGACACGGCCCCG
rnacentral:rRNA from 1 species